UACGAAGGGUCCAAGCGCUAUCCGGAUUUAUUGGGUUUAAAGGGUGCGUAGGCGGUUUAUUAAGUCAGUGGUGAAAGCUCCAUGCUUAACAUGGAAAUUGCCAUUGAUACUGAUGAACUUGAGUACACUUGAAGUGGGCGGAAUAUGUCACGUAGAGGUGAAAUUCUUAGAGAUGACAUAGAACACCGAUUGCGAAGGCAGCUCACUAAAUUGUAACUGACGCUGAGGCACGAAAGCGUGGGGAUCAAACAGG
rnacentral:rRNA from 1 species